rnacentral:rRNA from 1 species
CCUACGGGAGGCAGCAGUGGGGAAUAUUGGGCAAUGGAGGGAACUCUGACCCAGCCACGCCGCGUGAGGGAUGAAGGUUUUCGGAUUGUAAACUUCUGUCGCGCGGGAUGAAGAAUGCCGGUACCUCGUACGAAAGCCCCGGCAAACUACGUGCCAGCAGCCGCGGUAAUACGGAGGGGGCGAGCGUUGUCCGGAAUGACUGGGCGUAAAGGGAGUGUAGGGGGCAUAGUAAGUUAUGUGGUAAAGCCCGCGGCUCAAGCGCGGAAUUGCCCAUAAAACUGGUAGGCUGGAGUUCAGGAGAGGUAAGUGGAAUGCGCGGUGUAGCGGUGGAAUGCGUAGAUAUCGGGAGGAACACCAGAGGCGAAGGCGACAUACUGGACUGUAACUGACGCUGAGGCUCGAAAGCGUGGGUAGCAAACAGGAUUAGAUACCCUGGUAGUC